UACUAAUUUUGUUCCGUAGCAUUUACCUUUCGCGAUACUUGGCUUACUCGCACCUCUGUCGCCACGCUUGCUUCGUCACCGUUUUCCCGACCUUCUCUUCCUCCCGCGCCUUUUCUUCUCAGUCACAGCGGCCAAGUAAUCAAGUUCGCGUCGAGCUCCCCCAAAAUAUCGUAUAGUCGUGUAUGUGUGCUCGAUGAGCUACUAUGAGCAGUGGCGUGAUCCAAGAAGCCGCUAACCAGUGCCCAACUUUUUGUUAUUGAAAUAUACAAAUGAUCUGCUAUGAGGUGCUCCCCUCAGCUAUUUCUAUGUCUCCAUUAAAUAUGAUUUGCUAAGUUAAAUUUCAGUAACCUCUGAGUCUCUUAACUCAAUUCUACUACCAUUAUGCCCCAAUUGCACAUAGAGGGUCAUUACAGCUGUUCUAUAUAAACCAGACGAGGAAAUGAAACUAAUUCAAACCUCUUCCCAUGAAGCCGAAAACCCAAUAGAGCUCUCUCUGAGACAAGCCUUUGAACUUCUUGAACCAAAACUGAGGCCCCCUUUUGCAUUAACAAUUCCAAACCCACAAGAAUACUUGUUGCUCAACAAAGCGAUCCUUUAUGGUGUGUUAUGUGAAAGCCAUGUUGGAAAAACACAUAUGAAGCACUUACAUGCUAUUGUCACUGAUGGGUAUUUCUGGUUUGUUAGCUUGCUAGUCAAGGUCGUGAAUGAACUGUAUGUGAAACUUCUUGAACCGGUGAAGUCUCAAUUAAUUUGGGUUACCAAGGAGUUGAUCAAUGUUCUAGCGGUAGGUGUUGAUGGUUUGUUGGUUUGCUUGUUGAGGCAAAUUAUUGGAGGGGAUUAUAGUGAUGGAAAUCUGUGGCUUUGCUUUGAGAUGGUGAGCAUUUUUAUGACCAAAUGGGAUUGUUUGUUAGAAGUAGAACCGAUGAUUUUGACUAGUGGAUUGUAUACAUAUCUUCGGUUAUUAGCUGAUCACUGUAGGUUGUUAAGCAAUCCAAAAUUAGAGGCAUUAAAGCAAUUGGAGGUCGAUUUUUGCAUUAAAGUUUUUAAGGAGAAGUUUCCUUUGUGUUUGAAGAUUGGCAGGGAUCUUGUUCGACUUCUACAAGAUUUGGUUCAUUUACCCAAGUUUAGAACAAUAUGGAAGGAUUUGGUAUUGAAUCGCGGCGAAUUUAAAGCUCAGGGAUUUUCAGGUAUUCCACAACUCUAUAACACAAGGACUCCAAGCGAGUAUAUGUUACUUCGGAUUACUCCAGAAAUGGAGGCCCAUUUACGAUUUUUGUUCACUCAUGUGAAGUUGGGAAACCAGAAGCGUCAUCAGGCAUGGUUUUCCAAGAAGUUUCUAUUUGAACCAAACAGAGAGACUCUCAUAAUUGACAUUGUUCGCUUUAUAUGUUGUGCUUACCACCCAACCAAUGAAAUCAUUCAGUCAGAUGUCAUUCCAAGAUGGGCUAUUAUGGGUUGGCUUUUCAAAUCUUGCACAAAGAAUUAUGUUGAAGCGAAUGUGAAACUAGCUCUACUUUAUGAUUGGCUCUUUUUCAAGGAAAGAGCAGACAAUAUUAUGGAUAUUGAACCAGCAAUGUUAUUAAUGGUCUAUUCUAUACCCAGAUACAUUGAUGUAACUCACACUAUUCUUGAAUUUUUGUUCCUUCUUAUGGACAACUAUGAUGUGGAACAUUACGAUAUCUUAGCUAAAGGUGUGUCAUCUUCUUUUAGUGUACUUGUUAAGAGAGGAGUGAUUCGUUCACUUGAUGUCUUGACCUCUUGUGAUGCAUUGUCUCCUAUAUUGAAAGAAAGGCUUGGUAGGUUUUUGUCAGGUAGGAAAUUUGAAAUCUCUAAAGAGUUGCAACAAGCUUGCCGUCCUGCUGAUUUUGUGAGUUUGAACUCUUCAUGUAUGGAAACUCCAUUACCAUUAACAGAAUGGCAACCAAAAUGUAGCCAAGGAGACAAAUUUGGUACCAAAUCAGCUGAAACUAAAGUUAUGAUAUCAGAUGAUGCAGCUUCUUCCCAUAGUCCAUUAGUAGUGGCCAGGGAAGGCCAAGUUCAUGAUAUAGACAAUAUGAUUCAUAAUCUUGGAGAAGCAAUUAAAAAUUCAAAUCCAAUGGCUCUUCGUACUUUGGAAGAACUGUUACUUUUAUUUGUGAGUUUUGAUGGCCAAGGACCAGAGAGUGGCUUCAUUCUGCCUGAUGUUUUAUCUUCUAAAAUAAAAAAGUUGUAUGAAUUGAGUGGGUCCAAAUUAUUUUCUCCUCUCAAAUUUCAUCCAGAUAGUCCUGAAAACAGUGAUGAAGUUGGGUCUGCCACAUCCUUAAUUAUCCGUAUGUUUGUUCUUUCUCAACAUCAAAAUAUGCAAGCUAUGCUUCUAUUUUGGUUAAAGAAUGGUUUUCCAGUUGGAGCAAGGUUAUUAUUGUAUGCAUCAAGACUAGCUUAUGAGGCACGCAUGGUGGGUUUUUUUGGAGAUGCCAUGGUUGACGUUAAUUCUAUUACUCCAAGUGAUUCAGGCAUCCGUCUGCUGCUAUAUCAUGUCAAUGGGUACUUUUCUUUUUUGCAUGGUAGAACUGAAAACUCAUAUGAAACCAUUGAGUCUAUUUCUAAAGCGGAAAAGAAGUUAGUUGCAAUGUUAGUCGAUGGUGCCUUUGCUGCCUACAAAUGCUUCCUUGUGUAUUCAAGAACUGCCUUAUUCAAGGAUGCUGAAAAUUCUUUGCCGCAGCUCCUUUUUUCUGACAUAAUGACUUGUUCUGUGUGGGAGAGGAAGCGAUUAAAAUUCUUGUUUUCCAGUGUCUAUUGUCAUCUUUCUGAUAUGUCCAUUGGUGAGGAAGGCAUCAUCAAGCUACUUGUUGGUCAAUUAGAUCAUGCUGAUCUUGUUAAUAUACAGAUUGAGAUUGGCUUGAAAAGAUUUUCCAUUUUUGGUGAGAAUACUGAAACAGUUUUCUGCUUAAUGAAGAAUUCCCUUAAUUGGGGUUGUAUGGAACAACAUAAAUUCUGGGGCUUGAUUAGAUCAGAGCUAGCGGUUUCCACGGUGGAAGUGCAGGGACUACUUUCAAAGUUUUUGGUUGGAGAAAUUAGAUGCAAAUGCGAGUGCCAUUGCGGUUGAAGGUCUUCUUACACUCUGUAGUUGCUGCCCACCCACGCCUGAGCUUGUUGGGGCUCUCAUGUUAUUACCUAACAGUGUCUUUCAGGAUUUUGCUUCUGCUGUUAUGGCUAAAUGGGCUGUAUCUAAUGGCGCCAUGCUAUUUGAAAGCUUGGCUGAGUUUUCAGAAAAAGUUGAGAGCAAAAAUGGGGAUCUCGUCAUUCAUGAUUCAGCAGGAAUGUUAAACCGUUCUGCCAUUUUGUGGUUAUUGAAGUAUUUUAAUGGGAGUGACACUGAUAUUUCUGGCAACUUAUCCUUAAAAACUAUGUGCAAAAAUGCAAUGCGACAAGUAUGAUGGGUUAUGUAAUGCGUUUCAUUGGAAGAUUGAGAAAUACACAGACACACCGGCACCGGCAUAUAUAUUAAGCUUUCUGCAUGAGAGUCAUAUUGUAUUAUCAAAGGAAUUAGUACAUGACUACAUGAGUAUUCGACAUUCAGUGUUAUAUUUUUGUUAUAUUUUAUUGGGUUAGAAUGAAGGCAUGUUUGCUUGACUACAAUAUGCUUUGUAAAUGCUUGUGAAAAGUUGUAGGACGUGAACCUGUAUAUAUUUUUUAUUAGUUUUCUGUUUUCACCUUUGAUUUAUAUAUCUUGUUACUCUUUAAGUCAAU